GGGUUGUGAGGUUAAGCGACUAAGCGUACACGGUGGAUGCCCUGGCAGUCAGAGGCGAUGAAGGACGUGCUAAUCUGCGAUAAGCGUCGGUGAGGUGAUAUGAACCGUUAUAACCGGCGAUUUCCGAA
rnacentral:rRNA from 1 species